UGCUCCCUGGGGUAUGCGCUUGUAGGUUAUGUCCCUGUGCCGAUAUUUACAAACCCAGGGUGAAUGUUUUCAUUGACAUUGUGUAUGCUCGGCUUGUACCGAGAAACCUUAGGAGAUGAACAUUUUCCCGCCUUGAACCUACGGUUCAAGGGCUACACCGACGGUCGGUAUUCUGGGGAGCAU
rfam:Shewanella sp. P1-14-1 AN944_contig000001, whole genome shotgun sequence.